rnacentral:rRNA from 1 species
AAUUAUGGACAAUGGGCGCAAGCCUGAUCCAACCAUGCCGCGUGAGUGGAGAUUGCAUCCGGGUUGUAAAGCUUUUUCGAGCGGAAAAUAAUCGCGCAAGCUACUACCCUCCGCGGAUGUCGGCACCGCCUUUAGAUGCACCCGAAAACUACGUGCUAGCAGCCGCGGUAAUACGUAGGGUGCGAGCGUUAAUCGGAAUUACUGGGCGUAAAGCGUGCGCAGGCGGUUGAUUAAGACAGGCGUGAAAUCCCCGGGCUUAACCUGGGAACUGCGCUUGUGACUGGUCAGCUAGAGUACGGCAGAGGGGGGUGGAAUUCCACGUGUAGCAGUGAAAUGCGUAGAGAUGUGGAGGAACACCGAUGGCGAAGGCAGCCCCCUGGGCCUAUACUGACGCUCAUGCACGAAAGCGUGGGUAGCAAACAGG